rnacentral:rRNA from 1 species
GAUGAACGCUGGCGGCGUGCUUAACACAUGCAAGUCGAACGGAAAGGCCCUGCUCUUGCGGGGUGCUCGAGUGCCGAACGGGUGUGUAACACGCGAGUAACCCGCCCCUGACUUUGGGAUAACUUCAGGAAACUGGGGCUAAUACCGCAUAGGAGCUCUUGCUGCACGGUGGGCGUUGGAAAGAUUCGGCGGUUGGGGAUGGACUGGCGGGUUAUCGGCUUGUUGGUGGGGUAGUGGCUUACCAAGCGUUCGACGGGUAGCCGGCCUGAGAGGGUGACCGGGGACAUGGGGACUGAGGGAGGGCGCAGACGGGUACGGGAGGCAGCGGGGGGGAGUAUUGCGGAGUGGGGGGGAGCGUGAUGCGGCGGCGCCGGGUGCGGGAUGACGGCCUACGGGGGGUAAACCGCUGUGGCCGGUGACGAGGCGGGAGUGACGGUAAUGGGUAAGGAAGCACCGGCUAACUACGUG